rnacentral:lncRNA from 1 species
CAAGAAGAAAAAGUUUGGUUUUUCAAAGAUUCACGUGGAUUCCGGUCAGAAAGAUGCAUAUGAGGAAGCUCGACUCAAACAUCCACACGCAACUGUGAUUUCUGACUGGUAGACAGAUGAGGAUGAUGAUCGCCUGUCAUACAUCUAAAGACAGAACAGGGACAGUAUAGACACAUCUAUACCGUGAUGAAGAAAAAUUACUUGGAACAAAGAGGCUGGAUAAAAGCACGACUGACUGAAGUUUUAAAAUCAUGCAACGUCAUAAAGCAGCAGCUGGGCCUGAUUCUCACAAAACCAAAACAGACGUGAUGAAAUUCCAGAUGUAAACACAUUUGACCUUCCUUUGGCCAAUUUGAUUUGGAAAAGCUUGAAAAUCAACUGAAGGAGCAGCCUGAACAAAUGAAGAAACUGAUGGAGUGAGGACAAAUGUCCAUACCACACCACUGAUAAGGAAAUGGAAAAAUGCAUUACAAGGUAGCUACAACUUGCCCCUGACAGGGAUGGAGGAAGAAAGAAGAGAAAGCUAAUGUGUCAAAUGUCUACAUCACUAUUUUGUUUUAUUUUUUAAACAACAUUUUAAGUGUAUUAGGAUGUUCCCUGAUACUUGAACAAUUUGUUUCUUUCAUUUGCAUUUAUAUAUAUAUAUAUAUAUAUAUAUAUAUAUAUAUAUAUAUAUAUAUAUAUAUAUAUAUAUAUAUAUAUAUAUAUAUGUAUAUAUAUAUAUAUAUAUAUAUAUAUAUGUAUAUAUGUAUAUGUAUAUAUAUGUGUGUGUGUGUAUGUGUGUGUGUAUAUAUGUAUGGUAUGUAUGUAUGUAUGUAUGUGUGUGCGCCAAAUUCUGAAGAAACAUCUUGAUACAUUUUUAAUAAACGUAAUACAAAUAAAAUUAUAAAUAUAAAAUUGCACAAGACGUGUAUAUAUAUGAAAUGUAUAAUCAUCUCACUCAUGUCUUGCUGUGUGCAAUUGAUUUUGUUCAAGUUUAUUUAAAAAAAAGUUUGACUUUAAACUUAUGCAAUUAUAUUUAUAUAUAUAAAAUAUAUAUAUAUUUGUUUGUUUAUUAUUAUUUUAAUGUUUUAUUAAAAAUGUUUCAAGAUGUUUCUUCAGAAUUCUGCAGUACUUUUUACAAGUUUGACUUGGAUAUUUUACGGAUUGUCAUUGGUAUUUUUAAGAUGUUUCUUGCUAUAUCUUAAAUUGGUUUCUAUAUUUAGGUUUAUAUAAAAUUUAGCUGUUUUUUUUUUACCAAUUUUUAAUUCAAGUCUAUUGGGAAAACAGGGUUGUUUUAAAAAACAUCUGUGUUUGUGUGUAAUUUUUAGAUUUUUUGUUUAAAUCUUUCUGUGUGUCUUUAUUGUGUUUUAUUGUUGUUUUUAUAUUGAUAUUCUUGUGCACUACAAAAUUAUUUAUAAAAUUUUAGUACUAUUUUUUUCAUGCAAUCAAUAAACGUUUAACAUUUA